rnacentral:rRNA from 1 species
UACGGAGGAUGCAAGCGUUAUCCGGAAUGAUUGGGCGUAAAGCGUCCGCAGGUGGCAAUGUAAGUCUGCUGUUAAAGAGUCUAGCUCAACUAGAUAAAAGCAGUGGAAACUACAUAGCUAGAGUACGUUCGGGGCAGAGGGAAUUCCUGGUGUAGCGGUGAAAUGCGUAGAGAUCAGGAAGAACACCGGUGGCGAAGGCGCUCUGCUGGGCCGACACUGACACUGAGAGACGAAAGCUAGGGGAGCGAAUGGG